rnacentral:lncRNA from 1 species
GUAUGUAUGUAGUAGCAUCAUGGUAAACUGUCAUGUAAUGAGAUCCAAAAGGAUUUUUUUUUAUAGAUUGUCAUGAUUGUUGUGAUGGCACAGUGAUGCUAUAGCUAUUAUUUGUGUUUCUGAAUUUUAGUUCUAAAGAAUAUUUAUUUUUAAAUAUUUUGUACUAGUUAUAGGGUGCUUAACUUUUCUUAAGGGGGCAUGCUCCAGUCAUGCUUCAUAAUCAACUAAAUUUUUCCCACAAAAGGGGGCCCAGGCUCAACCUAUGAUUUGGAAUAAAUUGUAUAUAACUGGAAUUUCAAAAUUAAAUAUAAAUAUAUUUUUGUGGCUAUAACAUCAUGAUACAAUGAUUAUGGUAUCC